UGAGGAAUAUUGCACAAUGGGGGCAACCCUGAUGCAGCAACGCCGCGUGGAGGAUGAAGGUCUUUGGAUUGUAAACUCCUUUUUUCGGGGAAGGGGAAGGACGGUACCCGAAGAAUAAGUCACGGCUAACUACGUGCCAGCAGCCGCGGUAAUACGUAGGUGGCAAGCGUUAUCCGGAAUUACUGGGCGUAAAGGGCACGCAGGCGGCUGUCCAAGUCUGACGUGAAAGCUCCUGGCUUAACUGGGAGAGGUCGUUGGAAACUGGGCAGCUUGAGGUGAUGAGAGGGGUGCGGAAUUACCGGUGUAGUGGUGGAAUGCGUAGAUAUCGGUAGGAACACCAGUGGCGAAGGCGGCACCCUGGCAUUAACCUGACGCUCAUGUGCGAAAGCGUGGGGAGCGAACGGGAUUAGAUACCCGCGUAGUCC
rnacentral:rRNA from 1 species